AGUAGAACGCUGAAAGAGAGGAGCUUGCUCUUCUUGGAUGAGUUGCGAACGGGUGAGUAACGCGUAGGUAACCUGCCUUGUAGCGGGGGAUAACUAUUGGAAACGAUAGCUAAUACCGCAUAACAAUGGAUGACACAUGUCAUUUAUUUGAAAGGGGCAAUUGCUCCACUACAAGAUGGACCUGCGUUGUAUUAGCUAGUAGGUGAGGUAACGGCUCACCUAGGCGACGAUACAUAGCCGACCUGAGAGGGUGAUCGGCCACACUGGGACUGAGACACGGCCCAGACUCCUACGGGAGGCAGCAGUAGGGAAUCUUCGGCAAUGGGGGCAACCCUGACCGAGCAACGCCGCGUGAGUGAAGAAGGUUUUCGGAUCGUAAAGCUCUGUUGUAAGUCAAGAACGAGUGUGAGAGUGGAAAGUUCACACUGUGACGGUAGCUUACCAGAAAGGGACGGCUAACUACGUGCCAGCAGCCGCGGUAAUACGUAGGUCCCGAGCGUUGUCCGGAUUUAUUGGGCGUAAAGCGAGCGCAGGCGGUUUGAUAAGUCUGAAGUUAAAGGCUGUGGCUCAACCAUAGUUCGCUUUGGAAACUGUCAAACUUGAGUGCAGAAGGGGAGAGUGGAAUUCCAUGUGUAGCGGUGAAAUGCGUAGAUAUAUGGAGGAACACCGGUGGCGAAAGCGGCUCUCUGGUCUGUAACUGACGCUGAGGCUCGAAAGCGUGGGGAGCGAACAGGAUUAGAUACCCUGGUAGUCCACGCCGUAAACGAUGAGUGCUAGGUGUUGGAUCCUUUCCGGGAUUCAGUGCCGCAGCUAACGCAUUAAGCACUCCGCCUGGGGAGUACGACCGCAAGGUUGAAACUCAAAGGAAUUGACGGGGGCCCGCACAAGCGGUGGAGCAUGUGGUUUAAUUCGAAGCAACGCGAAGAACCUUACCAGGUCUUGACAUCCCGAUGCUAUUUCUAGAGAUAGAAAGUUACUUCGGUACAUCGGUGACAGGUGGUGCAUGGUUGUCGUCAGCUCGUGUCGUGAGAUGUUGGGUUAAGUCCCGCAACGAGCGCAACCCCUAUUGUUAGUUGCCAUCAUUCAGUUGGGCACUCUAGCGAGACUGCCGGUAAUAAACCGGAGGAAGGUGGGGAUGACGUCAAAUCAUCAUGCCCCUUAUGACCUGGGCUACACACGUGCUACAAUGGUUGGUACAACGAGUUGCGAGUCGGUGACGGCAAGCUAAUCUCUUAAAGCCAAUCUCAGUUCGGAUUGUAGGCUGCAACUCGCCUACAUGAAGUCGGAAUCGCUAGUAAUCGCGGAUCAGCACGCCGCGGUGAAUACGUUCCCGGGCCUUGUACACACCGCCCGUCACACCACGAGAGUUUGUAACACCCGAAGUCGGUGAGGUAACCUUUGGAGCCAGCCGCCUAAGGUG
rnacentral:rRNA from 1 species